UAGAGGAUGAGAAUUUAGAAAAACGAAGGAACCUAGAAAGAUUAAUUGUUUCGCCAUUAGGAGAAAUAUUACCGCACCCGUCGUCCCUUAAACACGGUUGGAAUGACGAUUGUGAAAAAAUACCGGAUUUUUCAAACGCAGAACUUUACAAUUAUCUAGUGUUAAGUCAAGGUCAAAUUGACAAAAAAGAGCAGAACAAUGCCAAACGACAACUGAAAGCAAAGGUGUUCUAUGAGGAUAGACAUGUACAUUCAGUACAAUAUCAUGAAAUCGAGUCAUCAAUCACUCACUGUUUCAUACGUACCAAAGUCAUCCCAUCCAUGCCUACCCUUGAUAAAAAGAAGAAGCCAGAUUAUGUAGUUUGGAUUAUGAAGUUGAAUCCUGUAACCAUAGCGGCAGUACUCCACGGGCUAAUUGACAUUACCGAAAAAAAAAGGUCUUCACGCGUCUACAUCAAACAAGUGUAAAUGGAAUGAGCCUCGCAAACGGAAACUUAGCCCCAAAAAAUCUCAGGACAUAACAUUUGAAAAGUGCAAAUGGACUCCAGAGGUUCCAAAUUCCAAAGGAGAAAAGACACCAUUUAAAGAAGAAACUGUUUUAACUGUGACACCAGUGAAUGUUAAUAACUUUGCUAGGAAAUUAAGGCAAUGUGCACCACAUGCUGCAUGGUUAUUAACAAGACCGGACACAGUUGUUAUAAAAGAUGCUAAACAGGUGUUGCCAGAAAUACAGUGAAUGUAUCCAGGAACCAGUAGUAGCCGCCUACUGUGCUGUUAUACAGUCCCUGGCCUAGCAAUGCUAGUGUUGAACUUGCUAUUAGCACUCCUCAUUGAUUUGUUCAAAUCUAAACUUUGUAACAUAAAAUAUAUUUUUCAUUCCGUUAACAUGCCGUGGUAUCAACAGCUUUAAGCUAAAAUAAAUCUUCAAAAUCUAGGGGAUCCGAGACUGCGUUUUACAAUUUAUGUUCCCGUCUUCAUUGGCCCAGUCGGAGUAGAACAGUAGGACGUCAAACCCCAUUUCAUUUCACUAAUUAUGUUAAAUAAUAGGCAUUAGUAAAUUUUCUCAUCAGGAAUGGAAAAGAUUAAAAACACUAAUGCCAUAGGCAGACCAAAAUCUCAUUCAAUUUCCAGAAUCAUUUGUCAUUCAAAUCUCACAAAUGAAUUGGCCGACUGGUUGAUACAUCAUUUGUUCAGAACACAAGAAAAGGCCAUAUCGUCAUUUGCUAGAUUCCGUGUGACGUCCAUCUCUGUACAGAUGACCAUUUCUAUAGCACAUUACUUAUCAAUUACAGGCCUUUGUGCAUAGAAGAGUUAGCUACAUGUAAUACAUGUCUGGAAUAGGUUUUGUUAUUCAGGACAUAAGUGUUCACAAAAUGUUCUUUUUUGAAUCGUGGAUGCUAUUCAUUCAUAAUUUAGUAAUUCUAAAAUAACUUUCAUCUGUAACUCUGUAAUUUCCGGCAUUGUGGCAUCUCCUGUACGAGGAAAAUGAGAUUUGUAAUUAGAAGCUUUAAUACCUAACGCGUCCUGGGCUUUAUUUAACUGAUAAGAGUUAUUGGCAGUUAGAUAAGACACAAGAUAAGCUUCUGAAUAACUGCUUUUAGGAUCUGUCUCCACUAUCAUUGCAUGGGAGAGACGGCAUCCAGUAUUGUCCUACAGAUGCGCAAACAGCGAGAGAGAAGGAGGAGACAACGUGGGCCAUCGAUGCAACGUUGGUUGGUUAAUUCAAACGUCCGUGGAGACACCAGUUGUAUGUGCGCGAGCAUUUUCAGGCUGAAACGUGUGCAGAUCUUGAUGGCAAUCGGUCCAACGUAAGGCGUAAGGUUGUUUUUCAUAUAGGAAUCAACUGCCUGUCCAAUUUCUAGUUGAAGAUCAAAACGAUUUCAAUGUUUGCCCCGCUUUAUGGAGAGUGUGCACAAAGGAUAUGUUGAUAUGGAUAUUAAAAAAACAAUCUCUGCGUGUACAAUUUUAUUCAAAGCCUAUCAUGGACUAGAAGUAAAACUUUAAAACAUA